CGUUUGCUCAGAAGGGAAUGUUUAUAGAAAUUUGUCUUCAAUCAAGUACUCCUGCAUGUGUGCGCUCUUUGUUGAGGAAAACUCACCAGCUCGCUUGACUUGGAGGGCUGGUGCCCAGGCCUUGACUCAGCCGUCUCCCAUGCGGUGGGGGCCCUAAGGCUCAGGCAGGCUCAGCUCUUCAGGGUCAGAGCAGGCCCCAGGGUGCCUCGAGGUGUUGGAUCUGCUCAUCUAUAUGCCAAGAUUUGUGCAAACACAGGUUUUUUUGCAACCUUGAGUGUCUCCAAUUGUCUGAAGCAGGGCCAAAGAGAUCGGGAGAGAACACGUGAGAAACUUCCAGGGUGUUUGGAGAGUAAAGCACUGGAUGUCCUGGACGUUCUUUGCCUCAGUGAUGAAGACCAGCCUAGUCUGCUGCUACAUUCCUGGUGUCUAUCACAUAGGAAAUCAACAAAUAGGAAGUGAAUGAAAUCAAUGGAUUCUCAUUAAAUUUGUUUUGGACUGCUCUGAAAUUUAAAACCACUGUAGCAACUACACGGGGGCUUUAAGGAAUGGUGGUAGUUUGAAAGGGGACUUAAAUAGAAUGGUUCAGAGCACAUUAAAAAAUGGGUGCAAUGUUAAAAAACUUACGAGACACACUGAGGGCCUCACUAAACUGAUCACAUGGUGACCAAGGACCCACGUGAACUCACUGAUAGGUCGGUGGGUCUCGUGAUGGUGAAGAACCUACCAGCAACCUCAGGUACCACAAGGAGGCUGAGAAGGGCAGAGAGGGGCGCCAGGGGGCCGUUCCCCACUGUGCUCAUCGCUGGGCUGCCAACAGCUGAGCUGCUGAGUGUUUUCUGGAACGUGAAGGUGUGAUGUACAGCCAGCCAUUCCCUUGCAGCCGCACAGACCCACAAAGCAUCAGAAGGUG